rnacentral:lncRNA from 1 species
CUCUUAUUGUUUGACACCUCUGAUCUUAUUAUGUAAUAGAAGAACUAUAAAGAUUUCCUGUCACAGAGGAAAGACAACUCUGGAGUAAGAAGGGAAUAUUUCAGACCAAGCAUAGCUUUGAGGUGGUCUUCUGAGCACACCUCACAGGAGAUACCCUAUCUCUCCUACACAUAUGACUGACCCUGCUAGAUACUAGGGGAAUUUACCCAGGCUGGUGGACCAUCUGUGACCUAGCUUUGAAUGCAGGGGUUCUCAGAUGUGGAGGUCCCUGUCCUGGAAGAGAGCCUCCUAGCCUCAAGCUAUGCUGGACUCGGGCAACUGAAAGACAGGAGGAGACAGCUGCCUACUGACACUGAAUUGACAUCCCCUCCUGUGAAACCAUCUGAUGCAGCCAAAUUGGAAAGCUAAUGACCCUCAUGGAGUACUUCCUACAUAAUGUGGGCCUCUCCUCUCAGCAUGCACAGACGCUCUGGGACAGGAUGAGGAGGAAAUUCAGGAAUAGA